UACAGAAUUUACUUCUGGUGAUGUCA
rnacentral:piRNA from 1 species